CGUAGGGUGCAAGCGUUAAUCGGAAUUACUGGGCGUAAAGCGUGCGCAGGCGGUUAUGUAAGACAGAGGUGAAAUCCCCGGGCUCAACCUGGGAACUGCCUUUGUUGACUGCAUAGCUAGAGUACGGCAGAGGGGGAUGGAAUUCCGCGUGUAGCAGUGAAAUGCGUAGAUAUGCGGAGGAACACCGAUGGCGAAGGCAAUCCCCCUGGGCCUGUACUGACGCUCAUGCACGAAAGCGUGGGGAGCAAACAGGAUUAGAUACCCUGGUAGUCCACGCCCUAAACGAUGUCAACUGGUUGUUGGGUCUUCACUGACUCAGUAACGAAGCUAACGCGUGAAGUUGACCGCCUGGGGAGUACGGACCGCAAGGUUG
rnacentral:rRNA from 1 species